rnacentral:rRNA from 1 species
AGAGUUUGAUCCUGGCUCAGGACGAACGCUGGCGGCGCGCCUAACACAUGCAAGUCGAACGAGCGAGAGAGAGCUUGCUUUCUCAAGCGAGUGGCGAACGGGUGAGUAACGCGUGAGGAACCUGCCUCAAAGAGGGGGACAACAGUUGGAAACGACUGCUAAUACCGCAUAAGCCCACGACCCGGCAUCGGGUUGAGGGAAAAGGAGCAAUCCGCUUUGAGAUGGACUCGCGUCCGAUUAGCUAGUUGGUGAGGUAAUGGCCCACCAAGGCAACGAUCGGUAGCCGGACUGAGAGGUUGAACGGCCACAUUGGGACUGAGACACGGCCCAGACUCCUACGGGAGGCAGCAGUGGGGAAUAUUGCACAAUGGGGGAAACCCUGAUGCAACGACGCCGCGUGGAGGAAGAAGGUCUUCGGAUUGUAAACUCCUGUUGUUGAGGAAGAUAAUGACGGUACUCAACAAGGAAGUGACGGCUAACUACGUGCCAGCAGCCGCGGU